AAGUCGGCAAAUUGGAUCCGUAACUUCGGGAUAAGGAUUGGCUCUGAGGAUCGGGGCGUGUCGGGCUUGGCGAGGAAGCGGGUCGCGGCUGACGUGCCGGGCCUGUGCGAGGUGAAGCGUUGUUCCGUUUCGGCGGUCAAUGUCGAAUCCGAGUUCGGUCCCGUGCCUAGGCCUCCCGCGGAACCGUCUUGCUGCGAGGCUCCGGGUGCGCCCGUCAGGGCGUCCGGAAGUCCUCUUCGGCCGCCAUUCAACGGUCAGCUCAGAACUGGCACGGACCGGGGGAAUCCGACUGUCUAAUUAAAACAAAGCAUUGCGAUGGCCCCUGCGGGUGUUGACGCAAUGUGAUUUCUGCCCAGUGCUCUGAAUGUCAACGUGAAGAAAUUCAAGCAAGCGCGGGUAAACGGCGGGAGUAACUAUGACUCUCGCUGUGCGAACAUAGAGUCAUAGAGCCAGAACCUCCUCGUGGUCCCGCUG
rfam:Tribolium castaneum strain Georgia GA2 unplaced genomic scaffold scaffold_seqid1517, whole genome shotgun sequence.